rnacentral:rRNA from 1 species
UACGUAGGGUGCGAGCGUUGUCCGGAAUUAUUGGGCGUAAAGAGCUCGUAGGCGGUCUGUCGCGUCUGCUGUGAAAACCCGAGGCUCAACCUCGGGCUUGCAGUGGGUACGGGCAGACUAGAGUGCGGUAGGGGAGACUGGAAUUCCUGGUGUAGCGGUGAAAUGCGCAGAUAUCAGGAGGAACACCGGUGGCGAAGGCGGGUCUCUGGGCCGUAACUGACGCUGAGGAGCGAAAGCAUGGGGAGCGAACAGG